rnacentral:rRNA from 1 species
CAAAGUGACUGAACGAGGUUCCAGGAAAAGCCACUAAGCUUCAGCUAUACACGACCGUACCGCAAACCGACACUGGUGCGCGAGAUGAGUAUUCUAAGGCGCUUGAGAGAACUCAGGAGAAGGAACUCGGCAAAUUGACACCGUAACUUCGGAAGAAGGUGUGCCCUAUUAGUGUGAAGUGAACAACGGAGCAUGAAUGGGUUGCAAAAAAUCGGUGGCUGCGACUGUUUAUUAAAAACACAGCACUCUGCAAACACGAAAGUGGACGUAUAGGGUGUGACGCCUGCCCGGUGCUGGAAGAUUAAAUGAUGGGGUGCAAGCUCUUGAUUGAAGUCCCAGUAAACGGCGGCCGUAACUAUAACGGUCCUAAGGUAGCGAAAUUCCUUGUCGGGUAAGUUCCGACCUGCACGAAUGGCGUAACGAUGGCCACACUGUCUCCUCCUGAGACUCAGCGAAGUUGAAAUGUUUGUGAUGAUGCAAUCUCCCCGCGGAAAGACGGAAAGACCCCAUGAACCUUUACUGUAGCUUUGUAUUGGACUUUGAACAGAUCUGUGUAGGAUAGGUGGGAGGCUUUGAAGCAGGGUCGCUAGAUCUUGUGGAGCCAACGUUGAAAUACCACCCUGGUGUGUUUGAGGUUCUAACCUAGGUCCAUUAUCUGGAUCGGGGACAGUGCAUGGUAGGCAGUUUGACUGGGGCGGUCUCCUCCCAAAGCGUAACGGAGGAGUUCGAAGGUACGCUAGUUACGGUCGGACAUCGUGACGAUAGUGCAAUGGCAUAAGCGUGCUUAACUGCGAGACUGACAAGUCGAGCAGAUGCGAAAGCAGGACAUAGUGAUCCGGUGGUUCUGUAUGGAAGGGCCAUCGCUCAACGGAUAAAAGGUACUCUGGGGAUAACAGGCUGAUACCGCCCAAGAGUUCAUAUCGACGGCGGUGUUUGGCACCUCGAUGUCGGCUCAUCUCAUCCUGGGGCUGUAGCCGGUCCCAAGGGUAUGGCUGUUCGCCAUUUAAAGAGGUACGUGAGCUGGGUUUAAAACGUCGUGAGACAGUUUGGUCCCUAUCUUCCGUGGGCGCUGCAGAUUUGAGGAAGCCUGCUCCUAGUACGAGAGGACCGGAGUGGACACACCUCUGGUGUAUCGGUUGUCACGCCAGUGGCAUUGCCGAGUAGCUAAGUGUGGAAGUGAUAACCGCUGAAAGCAUCUAAGCGGGAAACUCGUUUCAAGAUGAGAUCUGCCGGGGCCUUGAGCCCCCUGAAGAGUCGUUCAAGACCAGGACGUUGAUAGGUCAGGUGUGGAAGCGCAGUAAUGCGUUAAGCUAACUGAUACUAAUUGCUCGUGCGGCUUGACCCU